CCAGCAGCUGGGCGAGCAGGUACCGCCCCUGCAGCGCGAAGGGUGCCCGGGGCGGGAUCUCGCGGCGCGGCCGUGGGCACCCGGACCUCCCGUCCUCCAGAGGGCGCUGCCCUGCCCCGGUCCGCAGACUGGCCUUCGGAGCGGACAGGCCGUGGCGGAGCCGCGGGGACCCCGGGAGCUGCGGGGACCCCGGGAGCCACGAUCCGGAGCGCGCGGCCCGCCCCACCCCUGGUGGGGGUUACGCGACUGCGGAGGGGGUGCGGGGAGGAGGCUGUGUGGUUCCCGCGGCCAAAGCCGCGCUGGGAGGCGAAGUGCGCGGGCCGAGCGCGGCUCGGGCGACGGCGGAAGCCUUAGGGGCCACUUGAAUGGAGGCCGAGGGCUUCGUUGGCAGCCGCCAUGUUCAACCAGCAGCAGCAGCAGCAGCUCCAGCAGCUCCAGCAGCAGCAGUUGCUGCAGCUCCAGCAGCUGCUCCAGCAGUCCCCACCGCAGGCCGCACUGCCCAUGGCCGUCAGCAGGGGGCUCCCCCAGCAGCAGCCACAGCAGCAGCUCCUGAAUCUCCAGGGCACCAACUCAGCCUCCCUCCUCAACGGCUCUGUGCUGCAGAGAGCUUUGCUUCUGCAGCAGUUGCAAGGUAUGACUGCGGGCCCUGUCUCGCUCCAUCUUAGCGGGAGCUCCCCAGCAGCCCCAUGGCACUGAAUCUCAUCAAAUCCACACAGUAACCCUGAGGGGGAUCUGUGUCAGCGUCCUGGUUUACAGAUGAGGACACUGAGGCUCCAGGAGGUGGAAGUCCCUAAGUUGCUCAGCUGAAUGCAGGUCUGUCUGAUCCCAGAGGUGUACCCUUGGCCAUGGUGUUAGCUCUGUGGGUGCUACUCAGCACAGUUUGCUGACAUUCAGAUUAGAUGACAUGAUGGAGGGCAAGAUCUAUUUUGACCACCCUCCUUUGCAUCCUGUUUGACAGAUGAGGAUGCCGAGGUCCAGAGAAGGGAGUCAUUUGCCCUGGGUCACAUAGCAUCAGCAGUGUCUAGCUAGACAGAGGCCUGGGCCUCCUGACCCCCUGGGUCUCUGAGGGGGAUGUCUCUAGCCCUCUGCAUUAAGCCUGUGUCCUUACCUGAGUUUCCCCAUGGGGAGAGCAGUCUUUCAUCUCUUCCUUACAAGAAGCUGCUCCCGAUACCUUAGCCCCUGCAGGAGUAAUCCAGGGGUCCAGAGACGUGGGGCCAGCUCAUCUUCAGACCCAGCCUCUCUCACACGGUAGCUGUGGCUUGCUGGCUGGUUCCUCAGGGCUGGGCAUUGUGCUGAGGCCCUGACAAACCCAAUUCCUUGACUCUGCUGACAACCCUAAGGGGAGAUACACUCGUGAUCCCAUUUUACAGAUGAAGAAACUGAGGCCCAGGUGUUGAUUAGUGGUCUUACUACAGAGCUGUGUUCUGAGACACCAGGCUAUCCUGCCUCCCAGCAGGGUAUGCAGUCAGGUCAGAAGAUGUGAUGGUCAUCACUCUUCAGCCCUCCUGGGGCCACAUGGGUGUGGAUGGUCCUGAGAGCUGGCUUAUAAAUGAUAGAUGGAUGGGUAGAGAGAUAAAACCACACACAGGGACCCACAAUGUAUAUAUAUAUUUUUUCACUUUUUCUUACUCAUUUUAAAAGUCAUACUCUUCAAAGAAGAGUGAAAGAAAUAUUUUAAAAAGAGUAUAAGAAAACCCAAAUGGUCAUAUGCAGAUUCACUCCUAAAGAAAAAACCACCCUUUAAAGUGUUGGUGUAUUUCUCCCCUUUUUUUUCUAGGCACAAACUUGGGGACUUGUAUAUGAUUGUGGUUAUUGAUAUAAGUGAAAGGCUGUAUCUUGUUUCUUUUUCACUGAAUAUAGUGGCAUGAUCAUUUACCAAAUUAUUUGAAAGUCUCUGUAAAGAUUGUUUUUGAACAGCUGUUUAAUAUUCUGCUGGAGGUGUGUGCCCUUGUGUCCCUAAACUUUCUCAGCUGUUUUCUUCUACUUCUUUUCUUUUCAUUUUUUUCUUUUUUUUUGCUUUAAAUAAUGGAAUGAAUAUCAUGUUUGAGAAUAUUCUCUUAGAAUGGAUUCCCAAAAGUAGAAUGACUGGGUCAGGGGGGAUGGAUAUUUUAUGGCUCUUGAUAAGUAUUGCCAAAUUGCUUUCCCAAAGGACUGGACCAGUUUGCAAUGCCACCAGCCACGUAUGACAGUGCCGGUCUCACCAUGCCCACGGCAACAUUGGGUAUUAUACUCUUUACAUAUAUAUAUGUAUAUAUACAUCUAAUCUACUAAUUUGCUUGGCAAAAGCUAUAUCAUUAAUGUUUUAGUUUACAUUUCUUGGAGUGCUAGUGCGGAUGAAUAUUUUAUAUUUGUCUGUUAAACAUUUGUAAUUCUUUUUGUGACUUGUCCAUGUGCUUUGUCUAUUUUUCUUUUAGAGUGUGCCACCUUUUAUCUUACUGUUUUUAAGAGCUGGUUAGCGUUCUCUCU
ensembl:lncRNA